GACGAACGCUGGCGGCGUGCCUAAUACAUGCAAGUAGGACGCAGUUGCGAACGGGUGAGUAACGCGUAGGUAACUACCUAUUAGAGGGGGAUAACUAUGGGAAACGAUAGCUAAUACCGCAUACUAGUAGAUGGACCUGCGUUGUAUUAGCUAGUAGGUAGGGUAAUGGCCUACCUAGGCAACGAUACAUAGCCGACCUGAGAGGGUGUGCGGCCACACUGGGACUGAUGCACGGCCCAGACGCCUACGGGAGGCAGCAGUAGGGAAUCUUCCGCAAUGGGCGCAAGCCUGACGGAGCAACGCCGCGUGAGUGAAGAAGGUUUUCGGAUCGUAAAGCUCUGUUGUAAGAGAAGCGGUAUCUUACCAGAAAGCCACGGCUAACUACGUGCCAGCCGCCGCGGUAAUUC
rnacentral:rRNA from 1 species